rnacentral:rRNA from 1 species
UACGGGGGGGGCAAGCGUUGUUCGGAAUUACUGGGCGUAAAGGGCGCGUAGGCGGUUCGCUAAGUUGAAUGUGAAAACUCUGGGCUUAACCCAGAGCCUGCAUUCAAUACUGGCGGGCUAGAGUUCUGGAGGGGAUAGCGGAAUUCCUGGUGUAGCGGUGAAAUGCGUAGAUAUCAGGAGGAACACCGGUGGCGAAGGCGGCUAUCUGGGACGAUACUGACGCUGAGACGCGAAAGCGUGGGGAGCAAACAGG